GGGGGAAUAUUGGACAAUGGGCGCAAGCCUGAUCCAGCCAUGCCGCGUGAGUGAUGAAGGCCCUAGGGUUGUAAAGUUCUUUCACCGGUGAAGAUAAUGACGGUAACCGGAGAAGAAGCCACGGCUAACUUCGUGCCAGCAGCCGCGGUAAUACGAGGGGGGCUAGCGUUGUUCGGAUUUACUGGGCGUAAAGCGCACGUAGGCGGACUUUUAAGUCAGGGGUGAAAUCCCGGGGCUCAACCCCGGAACUGCCUUUGAUACUGGAAGUCUUGAGUAUGGUGGAGGUGAGUGGAAUUCCUGGUGUAGAGGUGAAAUUCGUAGAUAUUCGGAGGAACACCAGUGGCGAAGGCGGCUCACUGGACCAUUACUGACGCUGAGGUGCGAAAGCGUGGGGAGCAAACAGG
rnacentral:rRNA from 1 species